rnacentral:tRNA from 1 species
GCCGCUUCGGUGGAAUGGAUACCAUGCGUGCGUCCGAAGCACGAGGACCGGGUUCGAAUCCCGGAAGCGGCG